AAAAAAAAAAAAAAAAAAAAAAAAAAAAAAAAAGGGCAAAGGAGAAAGAAUCCAACCAAAUAGUCAAAAGAGGGAAUAACUUCAAAGACAUGUAAUAAAUGCAAUAUCAUUAUCCUCUCUAGUUGAAGUCAAAUAAAGGCCUAGGGUUGGAUUGGAUUUGAUUGGGAUAUGAUAAUACUUGCCCUCUCCCACAAGGUAGUAAUAAAGAGAUUUGAGAUGUUAUUCUCU
rnacentral:lncRNA from 1 species